rnacentral:rRNA from 1 species
CCUACGGGAGCAGCAGUGGGGAAUAUUGGACAAUGGGCGAAAGCCUGAUCCAGCCAUGCCGCGUGUGUGAAGAAGGCCUUCGGGUUGUAAAGCACUUUCAGCGAGGAAGAACGCCUUGGGAUUAAUACUCCCGAGGAAAGACAUCACUCGCAGAAGAAGCACCGGCUAACUCCGUGCCAGCAGCCGCGGUAAUACGGAGGGUGCAAGCGUUAAUCGGAAUUACUGGGCGUAAAGCGGCGCGUAGGUGGCUAAGUCAGCCAGGUGUGAAACCCCCGGGCUCAACCUGGGAACGGCAUCUGGAACUGCUUGGCUGAGUGCAGGAGAGGAAGGUAGAAUUCCCGGUGUAGCGGUGAAAUGCGUAGAGAUCGGGAGGAAUACCAGUGGCGAAGGCGGCCUUCUGGACUGACACUGACACUGAGGUGCGAAAGCGUGGGUAGCAAACAGGAUUAGAUACCCUGGUAGUCCACGCCGUAAACGAUGUCAACUAGCCGUUGGGUCCCUUGAGGACUUAGUGGCGCAGCUAACGCAAUAAGUUGACCGCCUGGGGAGUACGGCCGCAAGGUUAAAACUCAAAUGAAUUGACGGC